UACGUAGGGGGCAAGCGUUGUCCGGAAUCAUUGGGCGUAAAGAGCGUGUAGGCGGCUCGGUAAGUCCGCUGUGAAAGUCCAGGGCUCAACCCUGGAAUGCCGGUGGAAACUGUCGAGCUCGAGUCCGGAAGAGGCGAGUGGAAUUCCUGGUGUAGCGGUGAAAUGCGCAGAUAUCAGGAGGAACACCAAUGGCGAAGGCAGCUCGCUAGGACGGUACUGACGCUGAGACGCGAAAGCGUGGGGAGCAAACAGG
rnacentral:rRNA from 1 species